UGCAGAAUCCCGUGAACCAUCGAGUCUUUGAACGCAAGUUGCGCCCCAAGCCUUCUGGCCGAGGGCACGUCUGCCUGGGUGUCACAAAUCGUCGUUCCCCCUCAUCCUUCAAGGAUUCGGGACGGAAGCUGAUCUCCCGUGUGUUACCGCACGCGGUUGAUCGAAAUCCGAGCCAAGGAUGCCUUGAGCGUCCCGACUUGCGGUGGUGAACUCGUUCAACUCUCCCUAUCGUCGGUCGCUCUUGUCCGGAAGCUCUAGAUGACCCAAAGUCUUCAAUGCGACCCCAGGUCAGGCGGGAUCACCCGCUGAGUUUAAGCAUAUCAAUAAGCGGAGGAAAAGAAACUAACAAGGAUUCCCUUAGUAACGGCGAGCGAACCGGGAAGAGCCCAGCUUGAAAAUCGGACGUCUUCGGCGUUCGA
rnacentral:rRNA from 1 species